CUGACACCCGGACACCUGACACCCAGACACACGGACACCCAGACAUCUGACACCCAGAUACUUGGACACCCAGACGCCUGGCACCCAGACACCCAGACACCUGGCACCCAGACAGUCAGAUACCCAGACACCCAGACACCUGGACAUCUGACACUCAGACACCCAUACACCCAGAUACCUGGAAACCCAAACACUGGACACCCAGAUACCCAGACGUCUGGCACCCGGACACCCAGACACCUGACAUCCAGACACCCAGACACCCGGACACCCAGAUGCCCAGACACCCAGACACCUGACACCUGGCACCCAGACACCCAGACAACUGACACCCUGACAUCUGGACACCCAGACACCCAGACACCUGACAACUGACACACAGACACCCGACACCUGACACCCAGACACCCGAAUACCUGGACACCCAGACACCUGACACAUGACACCGAGAUACUCGACACCCAGAUACCCAGACACUCGGACACCCAGACACCUGACCUCCAGACACACAGACACCCAGACACCCAGAUACCCAGACACCCAGACACCCAGACACCCAGACAGCUGACACCCAGACACCCAGACAGCCGACACCCAGACACCUGACACCUGGACCCCCAGACACCUGACACCCAGACACCCAGACACUUGACACCAAGAUACCUGGACACCCCACCACCCAGACACCUGGACACCCUGCCACUCAGCCACUUGGACACCUGGGCACUCAGGCACCCCACCACCUAGACACCCUGCCACUUGGAUACCCAGAUACCCUGUUCCCCAGACACCAAGACACCCAGUUACCCCACCACCUGGAAAACCCUCCACCCAGACACCCUGCCACCUGGACACCUGGAGACCCCUCUGCCCACAGACCUCACCACCAGGAUACCCUAUCACCCAUACACACAGACACCCAAACAUGCUGCCAUCCCACCACCCAGACACUCUGUCACCUGGACACGCAGACACCCUGCUGUCCCACCACCCAGACACCCUGCCACCCUGCCACCUGGACAUGCCGCCACCUGGACACCCAGACACCCUGCCACUCAGCCACCUGGACACCAUGCCACCCAGCCACCCGGACACCCAGCCACCCAGCUGCCCCGCCAGCCACAUGUGGCUGACUCCCUGCUCACCCUCCCAACUGCAUCAGCCACAGGGAACUGCGGUGGGGUCCCAGCACCCCUGGGCAGGCAGUUCCAUAGGGGAUUACCUCCAGCUGUCUUUCACAGAGAGACAGCCAA
rnacentral:lncRNA from 1 species